rnacentral:rRNA from 1 species
CACGUAGGGCGCAAGCGUUGUCCGGAAUUAUUGGGCGUAAAGAGCUCGUAGGCGGUCUGUUACGUCUGCUGUGAAAACCCAGGGCUUAACCCUGGGCUUGCAGUGGAUACGGGCAGACUAGAGGCAGGUAGGGGAGAAUGGAAUUCCCGGUGUAGCGGUGAAAUGCGCAGAUAUCGGGAGGAACACCAAUGGCGAAGGCAGCUUGCUGGGACGGUACUGACGCUGAGGAACGAAAGCGUGGGGAGCGAACAGG